AGCUCGCGUGCCGGCGGGUACUGCGUGGCAGUGAAAUUUGAUAGCCCGUACACUUCAUAAGUUGAAACAAAAAGGAACGUUCUGGAAUAAGUCUCUGUGUUUGAAUCAUGGUGCCUGUACCACGUGACUUUUUCGGCUAUGUGUGGGACAAUCGGAUGUUAACAAACCAUCGUUUCAGACUUGACAAGGAUUAGUCGAAGGAUUUGUAACGCUUUAAGGCGCGAAGCUGUGUUACAAUUAGAUGAACACCAUCAAACCACACGGAAGGUGUUAUGCGGCAAGUUAAUUAUCAAAACCACAGUGACAGAGACGGACCCAGCAUCAUUCUGUGAUGUUAACGGAAAGCUUUUUCAACUAACUAUGCAAACAUACCAUUUAAUAUGUAUUUUGGCAUAAUCAAAGCAAGUGUAUGUAUUGAUAUUUGUGUAUAUUUAUGUGUUUUGUAUCUAUGUUAUUAAUGAAAUUGAUUAGAUGAAUUUAAAAUCUGAGCAUAUAUGUUAAUAAAACAAUUGUUUCAUAACAAAUAACAAUAUAAAUCCAA